CCUACGAGAGGCAGCAGUGAGGAAUAUUGGUCAAUGGACGCAAGUCUGAACCAGCCAUGCCGCGUGCAGGAAGACGGCUCUAUGAGUUGUAACCUGCUUUUGUACGAAGGUAAAUCCCGAUACGCGUAUCGGGUUGAUAGUAUCGUACGAAUAAGGAUCGGCUCACUCAGUGCCAGCAGUCGCGGUAAGACGGAGAAUUCAAGCUUUAUCCGGAUUUUAUGGGUGGAAACGGUGCGUAGGGGGGUAGAUGAGUGAGAGGUGGAAGACCGGUGCUCAACUCCGUCACUUCCUCUGAUACUGUCGGGCUAGAGUGUAGUUGCGGUAGGCGGAAUGUAUGGUGUAGCGGUGAAAUGCAUAGAGAUAAUACAGAACACCGAUUGCGAAGGCAGCUUACCAAACUACGACUGACGUUGAGGCACGAAAGCGUGGGGAGCAAACAGGAUUAGAGACCCCAGUAGUC
rnacentral:rRNA from 1 species